rnacentral:rRNA from 1 species
CAUGAAGUUGGAAUCACUAGUAAUCGCGGAUCAGCAUGCCGCGGUGAAUGCGUUCUCGGGCCUUGUACACACCGCCCGUCACACCAUGAGAGUCGGGAACACCCGAAGUCCGUAGCCUAACCGCAAGGGGGCGCGGCCGAAGGUGGGCUCGAUAAUUGGGGUGAAGUCGUAACAAGGUAUC